rnacentral:lncRNA from 1 species
CUCGCAGGGAGCCACAGCAGGUGGAAGUGGGAACGGAAGGCCAGGAGGAAACAUUAGCAGCGUUCCAGCUUCACUGCUCCGCAGCAGUGAUACUUUAGCCUGCUGCUUUCGUUUUUUGGCACGCUGCAUUCUGCGCUGGAUCAUUUCCUCUGUCAUCUCCUUAAUGGGCUCGACCUGCAAUGUACAUUUGCAUGUCUGCAGCCAUUGUCCAACAUGCUACAGUGGGGUUAUUGCAUCAGUAUUUUGAAGUUCACCUUUCUCUGCAUAUACUCUAAAAAGCAUACAGGCUACACUGGUUGCAAGUAUCAGGCCGACUGCAGGCUGUGCACAUGUAUAACAGAGGCUCCACGGAAAGCACA